UUCUUUCCCUUAAACAAACCAACCGAACCCCAACCUCUCUCUUCACAUUACGCUUUCUUCCCCUCCCUCUCAGCAGUUUAAUAGCACCGCCGUCAGCGCCGCUCAUCACGACAGUGCUGCCACCGCCGCUGUCACAGUUCCUCACAGCAGUGCGGCCGCCGCCUCUCUCCCCACUCUUCAUUCUCAUGCCCGACUUCUCUGUAAUUUGAAUUAGGGGGAGACUUGUGAGGACGCAGUCACGAAGUUUCGACUUGUUGCUUUUCGCCAUCAGACUUAAAAUCUUUUAGUUGUUGUCUUCAUCUUUGAUCGGAGAUGAAUAGAGCGCAAGUGGAAGGUCUGGUGUUCACUAAAGAACCAUACAUUGAGGAUGUUGGACCUCGUAAAAUCAAGAGUAUGCAGUUUACUACGUUCUCCGGAUCUGAAAUUAGCAAAAUGGCUGAAGUUCAGGUGUACAAAGGCUUAUAUUAUGAUACCACUCGGAAACCCAUUGAGGGCGGCUUGUUGGAUCCUC